rnacentral:rRNA from 1 species
AGAACGAACGCUGGCGGCAUGCCUAACACAUGCAAGUCGAACGAGACCUUCGGGUCUAGUGGCGCACGGGUGCGUAACGCGUGGGAAUCUGUCCUUGGGUUCGGAAUAACAGUUGGAAACGACUGCUAAUACCGGAUGAUGUCUUCGGACCAAAGAUUUAUCGCCCAGGGAUGAGCCCGCGUAGGAUUAGCUUGUUGGUGAGGUAAAGGCUCACCAAGGCGACGAUCCUUAGCUGGUCUGAGAGGAUGAUCAGCCACACUGGGACUGAGACACGGCCCAGACUCCUACGGGAGGCAGCAGUGGGGAAUAUUGGA